rnacentral:rRNA from 1 species
CCUACGGGUGGCAGCAGUGGGGAAUAUUGGACAAUGGGCGAAAGCCUGAUCCAGCCAUGCCGCGUGUGUGAAGAAGGCCUUCGGGUUGUAAAGCACUUUCAGUGGGGAAGAAAGCCUUGGGGCUAAUACCCUCGAGGAAGGACAUCACCCACAGAAGAAGCACCGGCUGAACUCCGUGCCAGCAGCCGCGGUAAUACGGAGGGUGCGAGCGUUAAUCGGAAUUACUGGGCGUAAAGCGCGCGUAUGCGGUCUGAUAAGCCGGUUGUGAAAGCCCCGGGCUCAACCUGGGAACGGCAUCCGGAACUGUCAGGCUAGAGUGCAGGAGAGGAAGGUAGAAUUCCCGGUGUAGCGGUGAAAUGCGUAGAGAUCGGGAGGAAUACCAGUGGCGAAGGCGGCCUUCUGGACUGACACUGACGCUGAGGUGCGAAAGCGUGGGUAGCAAACAGGAUUAGAUACCCGGGUAGUC